rnacentral:rRNA from 1 species
UACGUAGGCAGCAAGCGUUGUUCGGAGUUACUGGGCGUAAAGGGCGUGUAGGCGGUUUUUUAAGUUUGGCGUGAAAUCUCCCGGCUCAACUGGGAGGGUGCGCCGAAUACUGAAUGACUUGGAGUGCGGGAGAGGAAAGUGGAAUUCCUGGUGUAGCGGUGAAAUGCGUAGAUAUCAGGAGGAACACCGGUGGUGUAGACGGCUUUCUGGACCGUAACUGACGCUGAGACACGAAAGCGUGGGUAGCAAACAGG